rnacentral:tRNA from 1 species
UCCCAAGUGGUCUAGUGGUUCGGAUUCCGUGCUCUCACCGCGGCGGCCGGGGUUCGAUUCCCCGUUUGGGAA